AUGGCGCGGCAGCACGGCUCCGUCAAGCCCAAUGAGGCAUCCAUCCCCGAGGGCAGCGAGCCGAACCUGGGCGGAGCCGCCGCGGCCAGGGGGCAUACCGGCGAGGGGCUGCGUCCACCUUGCCGUCGAGUGCCUCCUCCCCUCCGGCCGCCCCGAUUCCCUCUUCAUCCUCCAGCUCCAGCCCAACCCCGACACCCCGGACGUCAAGCGGGCCUUUCGUCACCUCGCCAACCUCCUGGCCCCUCGGCGCGAUCCCCAUCCCCGGCUGACACCGCCCUUCGCGCCGUUGAAGAGGCCUUCGCCCACCUCUUCGAGAGCGCCUCCACCAGCGCCGGUUUCGCUCCUGCUGCUCCCGGCGGCGUCUCCGUCCUAGAGAUGUGCUCUGGACGCGUUCGGGUCGAUUCAGAGCAGGCGGCAACGGCGCCGUUCAAGCCGAGUGCUCAAACAAGGUACCUGCGAGACGAGAUGGGAACGUUCGAGGAGCGCGUGAUGAAGGAGUUCGAGGCGCUGCGGCUCCUGCAGGCCAAGGUGGAUGGGAUCGAGGCGAUCCAGGCCAAGCUUGAUGGAUUGGAUACGAAAUUCGAGGAACAAGUGCAGCGCCUAGAUCAAGUGCAGAGCAAGGUGGAUCUGUCGGAAUUUGAUGUGAAUGUGCAUAGGAACUGCAUGAGAGAGCUGCUUGUAUUGAAACAGGAAGGUACUGUGCAACAAUACAGAUCUGCGUUCCAUCAGCUGGUGUACCAGGUCCGGAUGUAUGAGGGAGGAGUGAGUGAAACAAUGUUGGUCACUCAAUUCAUGUUGGGUCUUAAAGAAGAAAUCAGAGCUGCAGUGGAAAUUCAGUUACCAGCCACUGUUACUAUUGCAGUGGAGUAUGCUUUGGUGCAAGAAGCACUGUUAGAAAGAGCUAAACAGCAAGCCACUAAAACUAGCAAAUUCAGUUUUCACAAGGGAAGUACGACCAAAGGAGAUUAUAUUGGAAAAUCCCAGCUCUCCGCAGGAGAUAUGUGGAAAGCAAGCCAGCUUAAGGACUACAGGAGACAGAAUGUAUACUUGGAGUCCACAUCCAAGAUCAAAGCAUCUAGCUCUGUUCACUCAGGCAGGCUGGGUGGGCUCCUCGUCGGCGUCGGCUUUCCUGCCUGCCACUGCUUUCUGAUGGAGCGGACCUUUGGAUGCUCCUGUGCCUCUGGUGGCUGGAACUGCUCUGUUGGAUCCUUACCUUUCUUUUGCAGCGACACUGAAUGGUUUGGCUGGUCCACAACACAGUCUCAGGGAUGGAUGGUCAAGUUGUAUAUGGCUUCCACCAUGUACGAGAUGAAAAGCCAUAUCUUGCUCAAGGACCAGUUGCAAAUAAGGGUAGUUAAAGAGUGGAUGCCCAACUGCUCUGAUGUAGGCCGCUCCGAAUCAAUUAUCCGAUAUAUGGCAUCUCUUGAAGGCUACAACCUGGAGUCUCAUGGGGGUGUGAAGAUGAUACCCAAGGUGUGUGAGAACAUCUCCAUUGUCCUCUGCAGUAACAAGGUUUCUGUGAAGAACUGGCAGGUUAAAGCCAAGAGCAACUACAACUAG
rnacentral:rRNA from 1 species